rnacentral:rRNA from 1 species
UGAGGAAUAUUGCACAAUGGGCGAAAGCCUGACCCAGCAACGCCGCGUGAAGGAUGAAGUAUUUCGGUAUGUAAACUUCGUAAGAAUAGGAAGAAUAAAUGACGGUACUAUUUGUAAGGUCCGGCUAACUACGUGCCAGCAGCCGCGGUAAUACGUAGGGACCAAGCGUUGUUCGGAUUUACUGGGCGUAAAGGGCGCGUAGGCGGUGUGUCAAGUCAGUUGUGAAAUCUCCGAGCUUAACUCGGAACGGUCAACUGAUACUGUCACACUAGAGUACAGAAGGGGCAAUCGGAAUUCUUGGUGUAGCGGUGAAAUGCGUAGAUAUCAAGAGGAACACCUGAGGCGAAGGCGGGUUGCUGGGCUGAUACUGACGCUGAGGCGCGAAAGCUAGGGUAGCAAACGGGAUUAGAUACCCCAGUAGUCCCUGAGCGGGCUGGCAAGGCGCAU